GGCUUGGUAAUGGUGAGUCUCCCAUACCCUACUAAGAGUUUCCUCCAAAACUCUCGAAUUCCGAUGAGGGAUAUGGAAUUUGCCAAAAAUAAUGGGUGGUGCUAUUUGAUUUAAAGACCCAGAUCAAAUGGCUUAAAAUCAAUCAAUCAAUUUAUAUUCGUUAUGUAUUUGUUUACCAAUAUAUUUGCAAACGCUAUCCAAAACUUGACAAAGAAAAGCCGAAUGCUUUAGUUUCCAGACUUGGUACCACAAUCCCAUAGAUUGUCUUAAAUUGAUUGUAUAUGUACCUAAGUAGUCUCAUCCUCACAAUCUUCCUAUUGAUAAUGUAUCAUUGGAAGAACAUGUUAGAUAAGUCUAUCAUAAAGAGGACAACACAAAGAACCAAUGCUUAUUCCUUCAUUAUAUGAACAAAGGAACUUAUGAAGAUUAGCAUAAAGACAAGGACACUUUUAGUGUCAUAGUUCUUCACUUACAAAUCGUUGUAUGAAGAAAUAAGAGUUGCUUUGAACAACCCUUAGUUAACGCAAACACUAGUGCUUGUUUCUUUGUUAAAUGAACAAAGAACUUAAGAAGUAAGCACAAGGGCAUGGACACUUUAUGUGCCAUGAUUCUUCACUUACAAAUUGUUGUAUGAAGAAAUGAGAGUUGCCUUGAACAACUCUUGAAAGUUUGUAAUUAUGUUUAGAACAUAAUGGUUGGUUGACAAAAAUAGUCCAUCAACAUGGACUUAUGAUAAUUUUGAAUCAUUGAGUGUUGAAGUGUUAAACCACUUCACGAGACGGAAACUAGGCAAGGACUUCACUUUUGUGUCCCUAUCUAAAUGGUUCACUAAGUUUAUUGUAAACUAUAUAGUGAACAAUAAUCACACGCUCUCCAAAUUGUUUGAUGUGUAUAACACAAUUGAAAUGAGUUUCAUGAGAGAUAGUGGGAGUUUAGGGACCAUGACUAUUGUAGUUAAAGGAGAAGUCAAAUGAAGAAGGCGAAAUAACUCCAAGGGAACAAACUUUCUUUAUGAAAUGAUGGACAUUGGAAAGGGUAUUUGCAAGAAAUGUCUUGCAAGUGUCAAGAACACACCUUUCGAAGGUGUUGUAAAUUGUUCUUGAAUAGUUCAAAACAGUUGGUUCUUCUACUUGAAUGCUUGAUUCCGUAUUAGUAACUAUGUUUUACAAUCGUUGCAAAAGUGUGGCUAAUAAGAAGUAGAAGAUUAAUGAGAGAAGAGAAAGUACUUCACAUUCGGAACGUGAUUCAAAUGUAGAUCUAUGCGAAAGCAGGUAAUACUUACUUCCUCAUAUGAACUACCAAAGAAAAUGGAAAAACAAAGAUUGUCUUUACAUUCCAAUUGAAUAAAGGAACUUAAUUCCGUAUGAGAAAUGGAUAAAUGUUAUGUUUGACAAAAACAUUGUUCUUUAUUAAUGAAUAAUUAGAUUAUUUGUAAUCUAAUUGAUUAUCUCUAUAGUAGAGAUGAUAUGGUAGUGUUAACUGUUUAGAAUAUAACGAUGCUUAAAACCCAAAAGGUUGCAAGGUAGUGACUAAUCCCAACUGAGUUGUGAUACCUCUAUAACAUAAAUUACGAGUUGGUCAUAGAUGGAUGCUUUUGGAUCAUUAGAUCCGGAUCCAAUGCCUUCUUGUUAAAAUUGUAUAGAGGCAAAAUGUUUGAAUCUUUAUUCUUUUGGAAAGGAAGAAAGAAUCACAAAGUUGUUGAGGCUAAUUCACUUAGAUGUUAGUGGCACUUGUCCACAACAUAAUACUACUCAUGUUGUAUGACAUUCACCGAAGAUCGCUCUCGCUUGGACUAUCAUUUAUUUUGAAUAAACACAAGUCCGAAUACUUUGCAAAAGGUUUCAAAGAAUUCAAGAAUGUAAGUUGAUGAGUAAGACGUCUAAAGUAUUUACCUCCUUAGAUUUAAUCCAAGGAAAGGUAACACUUUAGAACAGUUUCCUUGAAAGAUAUCAAAAGGAAAGAAGCAUCAUAAGAUAAUGGAUUUCUUCAUAAGGAGAAGAACGAACUUGAAUAAGAUUUAGUUUGUUGGAUGUUAUCAAGUACCCAUAUAUAGGAUAUAUAUACUUCUAAGACAAUAUGAUUGUCAAUUAGAAGAUCUUCCAAAAUUUUCAUGACUCCAUAGGAUGUAGUUGGAAAGAAAGAUAAGUCUUAAUCGUGUUAAGAUUUGGGGUUGUGUGCUAAUAAGCAAUAUUUGUUUGAGAAUUAUCUUGUGGAUAUCCUUAAAUUAAUCUUUGGAUAUCACUUCUAUAAACCAACUAACAAAUAUUGUUUUGUUGGGUAGUUCAUUGUAAUCCUACAAUAUGAUUUGCCUAAGCACAAAUGAACAAGAGAUAGAACUCAAAGAAUUGGUUCUUUGAGAGACAAGAUGAUAAUCAACAAAUAUAACAACCUAGUUCCUAAACCACAAGCUUCAAGGUAGUUGAAUGGUUUGAACUUCAUGACUAUGUCAUAGAGUUACACCUCUUAAUUCGAAAGAAAUAAGAAUGAAAAUCCUUAUGACUACAUUGAGUGUAUAUACAAACAUAUACUCAAGGACAUGGUAAAGUACCAUUUGACCCGAAAUAAUGAAACCUUCAUCGCUAAUUGGUAGCUUAAGGUGACUACAAUCAAAGAGAAUGGUUGACUUGGAAGAAACCAUCUUUGACAUAGUCUUGGUUUCAAUUAAUUCAAAGAUUGCUAGCUACAACUAAAUGGUGAUUCAAUGUUUGGACAUAAUAUGGGUUUCCGAAACCAUUAUUAAGAUAGUCUUGAUAAUAUAUGUCUGAAACUAUGAAUCACAAGACAUGUAAGUUGUAGAAAUCCAUCCAUCAUGAAUCUUAGCAAGCUAGUGGGAUCUAUAAGCGUCUUAUGAGAGAAAGAUCAAAUCGUUUGAUUUCUCAUAAAGAUGUAAAUGAAUCUUUUGUUUACUAGGUUUACAAGAGAUUAGUGGGAGUUAAUCAUGUUCCUAAAUUUGAAUAUAUAUAUAUAUAUAUACACACACACAUAUAUAUGAUAUAUUUAAUUUUGGAAAUGAAAAGAAUACUUCUUCGUUAAAGUUAUGACUUUAAACAUUCUAUAACGAUAAAAUGUAUAUGGGAGACAUAGUCUAUAAACAUGGGAUGGAAAUCUAUAAUGAUAGAUUUCAGGAUAUAAUUGGAUUAUAUCAAGCCCUAAUGAUAGACAAAAGAUGCUAGGAAGUUUCUCAUAUGAUGAUAAACUUCAAUCAGAAGGACAACUCUAGUGAGACUAGGAAGUUGCUCUUCUCAAAGGGAACGUACCCUUUUGACUCCUAAAGAAACAUAAUGCAUAAAUAGAAUCCUUUAUGCAUACGCAGAAAGGUGAUUUAUGUAUUUCAUAUUGUAUGAAAAACAUUGAUAUGAGUUAUACCUAGAACGGUACAAGACGAUAUCAGUGCAAGCCCAAGAUCAGAACCAUGGCAACUGUCAAGUGAGUCCUUAAGUAUUUAAGAAAUACUAAAGGAUAUAUUCCUCAAAGAAUGAGGAAGAAUUAGAGUAACGUAAUGGAAGCGUAAAUGUAUUAGAUUAUGACUCUAAUCCAUCAUUGGAUGUUUCUUCAUUAUGAAUGAAGAGAUAAUCAGAUAUCUUUUAUUAUAAAACUAAAGAGAUAUUUGGAUGGAAACAUUAAAAGUAAUGACUUUAGUGUGUUCCAUUUUGAAUGCAAAAUAUAUUGCCAUAUAGAAGCUUACAACAAUGUUGUUUGGAUGGGAAAGUUCAUUUAUGAACUCUCUAUUCGGCUCCAACCAGAAAGUGUCUCCAGUGUACCGACACUAUGACACUAAUGGGGCAAUACCUCAAGCAAGGGAAUCAAGGUCUUAUCAAGAUCCGAACUUAAAUGAGAGACUAAACCACUUGAUUAAGAAUCAUGUAUAAUGGUGACGUCAUUAUUCUCAAGGUUGCUUCUAUGGUUAACAUAUAGAUAUCUAUUGUCUAGGCCUACUACUCAGCCAUUUUUGAAAUGACUACAGAAGAGGUAUCAUCACUGAUGACCAAGCUGAUUGGCUCUAGUGCAAGUGGGAGAUUGUUGGAAAUGUGCCCUAAAACCAAUCAUAUGAUGAUACUUUAUGGACAUUUCACAUGUUAAACUAAUAUAGUUUAAUAUAAAGGGAAAAGAUUAUUGUUUGAAGCCGUCUCAUAUAAAUGUUAUACGCUUAAAUGACAAGUCCAAGGAAUAUGUAAUUAGGAGAAUGCGAUCUAAAGAAGUUAGAUUCAUGAGACCAUUCUUUUUCGUAUACAUAUCCUAAACGUUCCUGAUCAUAGGAUUACCAAUUGGGCAUUGACAGUCAUGUAGGUGCUCAAUAGAGAAUGAGUCCACUGAACACGAUCAACAAGGAGUUUUCAUACUCAUGUCACGUGAGAACUCAUGGUUAGGAUAAUGCAAAGUAGUCAUUUGACCUAAGGUAUCAUAGUUGUCUUUUGGUUAGGUCCUUGAUCUUUCACUAUGUCAAAGUCAGUCCGUCAGAGGGUGUCCACGACAUAGUUGGGGUUAAGCCACUUAGCCAUGGAGGCAAGUGAAUGCGCAACAAGGGAUCUUUAACCUUUAAACUGUUUGAGGGGAGAAUACUUUAUGAUAUGAUUAAGAAUCUCUAACCAGAGUAUGAAUGAGAUUUAGGAAAUCGUUCCAAAUCACAUUCAAGGUGAUCAUAUAAGUAAGAGAAUCACAUUGGAUAGUAGACAUGAAUAAACUAUCAAACCAAACAAUGUGGUCAAGAGUAUUGUAUUAGAGAAAGACUGUAUUGCAUUGCAAUCCUAAACUGAAUAGGUUAUCCACCUCCUCUGAUUAGCUUGGGU
rnacentral:lncRNA from 1 species